ACUAAACUGCCUAGACUGCAGGUUAGCUUGUAGAUACCAGUGGGUUUUUUGAGUUGAUGAAAUAAUUUAAUCCAAACCUUCCUUUUCCAUGGGGAUCAAAUUACGAGAAGGUCACAAAACCCGGUUCUGUUGUUCUCAGUCCCGACAGUGCCAGAGAGGGUGUCAAAUUUUGUUGUUGUUGCUCAUACUGUGGUUUAUAGUUGGAACUGUGUGCAGUCACGGCUUUCUUCUCUCCUGGGCACUCUGAUUCGUACUGAAACAUCUCUCGUGUACAAGUCAUGACUGGAGUAUCCUGAGCAGCUCUCAGAAGAGCCACUUCCUUGGGCAGAUCCAGGCCACAAAGUUGCUGGGGAACAUUGGUUGCCACCCUCUAAACGGACAAGCCUUUUGUGAACAGUCCAAAACCAGCAAAUGACCCAGGAGUUAGGGCCACCCUGGGAUGAAAGUAGGAGGGUCUUUUUCCCCUGUCCUUUAUUCCCUUGGGGGACCCUAUGAGCUAAGCCGCAGGAGUCCAAUAGUCUUAGUGCCACGGACUCUUGGUUGGCCCCGCAGAGAUUGAUCCAAGAUGAAAGUUUGCCGAGCGAGCCAGGCACUCUGCCGCAGUUGGGGUAAGUCAAGCUGGUGUGCCAGUGGGUGAGUCAGCGACCGAAAUGCCCUCUCUUCAUUGCAUAACUCUAAACACAGGCUUUGCCUUCCCGAUAAUCACUCUCCUGGCGGUGGCACAGCAGGGCUUAUUUCCUGAAGACAUGCGUGGGAAAAAAAAGUUUUCCAGGCAGACUUAGACACUCAGGCUUCCAUGCUGUAAGGAACAGUACUUCCUUCCUCUCCAGCGCUGGUGAUAUGACUCACAGCAAAACGUGAAGAUGACUUUCCUGAUGCACCAAAUGGCAGCUGGCUGUAGCGACUCAGGCUUGUGGUCCCCAGCACUCCGGAGGAUGAGGCGGGAGACCCAUGACAUUGAGUCUAGGGCUACAUAUCUGGACCCUGUCUCAAAACAAACUGAUAAACCAGCAGACAAAUAUCAAGAAUGAAGAACUUGAGCAAUAAGAGGAAACGCAUCAAGUGCUAGACACGUGGUACAUCCUUCUCUCUACCUAGCUAUAAUGACCCUCAUAUUCUGCCCGUUAUACAGGUAAGAAAACUGAGGCCUGAGGUUAAAUGAUAUUCUUUCUCUUUCAGUACUCAGAACUGAACCUUGGACCUCAUGCUUGCUAGGCACUGAGCUAUAUCCCCAGUCCUAAAUGAUGUUCCCAAUGUUACAGAGCUUGUAAGAGUCUGAGCC
rnacentral:lncRNA from 1 species